rnacentral:lncRNA from 1 species
AUAUAUUAUUAAUUUCAUCUUAUUUGUACUACACUCUCUGUUUCCCAUUUAUUCUCCCUAGUUAUCCAUUUGUUCCAGCUGUUCAACGAUACUAACGUAUAUGUAUCUUUAUCCAGUAUCGAUAAUAAUUCUGAAAAAAAGAGAGAGAGAGAAAAAAUACGGAUUUCAAAUCGAACGAUUCUCAUAUCCAUUUCUUUUUGUUGGAGAAAAAAGUUCUUUGUAAAAGUCAAAUGCCAGAGAUUCAAUGUUAGGAAUUCGUUUGAGAAAGAGCAUCAGGAUUAACUUGGUCAUAUGGUCCAACAUAGAUUUCUAUCGAUUAUUAUGAAAAUGGGAUACCAAGUUGCUAGUUGCUUCUUCUUUGAAUUACACAAUGCUUCCUUCCACGUGCUAUUUUACUCCAAGCGAAAGAAAAUACCCAAGUCUCGUCGUUUUCAGAAAAGGAUACGAUUUCACUGAAUCACGAGGUUCAGUUAUAUAGCUUAACGUCUUCAUUGGGAUUUAUUUAUUUCGUAAAUUAUCAACGAAGAUUUCCAAAGAGAACUGCUAAGAGAGUUGUUUAGAUAC